rnacentral:lncRNA from 1 species
ACGCUACGAUAAAUAUAGUAAUAUGUCAUGAUUAUAGGAUCCAACUAAGGAGGGUAUUUUGGGGAAGAAUGCAUGUUGAACUUGGAAUUGUCCAUGCUCUUGCUUAGGUUUCGAAUUUGAAUAUCCGACGGUAUGCUCAUGGAUAUUUAGAUUUGAAACUAACUCCUCUAAAGUGCAUAUAGUACAUCGCAGUAUAUGGUGCUCAAAAUGCAUCAUAAAAUACAAUUCAUCAUGCUGGCCGUCCAUCACAUGAUGGAUGGCCAGCAAAUAUCCAUCCUGC